AUUGAACGCUGGCGGCAGGCUUAAUACAUGCAAGUCGAACGGUAACAGCAAAAAGCUUGCUUUUUGGCUGACGAGUGGCGGACGGGUGAGUAAUACCUAGGAAGCUGCCUGAAUGAGGGGGAUAACACCUGGAAACGGGUGCUAAUACCGCAUAAUGCCUAUGGGCCAAAGGGUGGGUAACCACUCGCAUUCAGAUGCGCCUAGGAGGGAUUAGCUAGUUGGUGGGGUAAAGGCCUACCAAGGCGACGAUCUCUAGCUGGUCUGAGAGGAUGACCAGCCACACUGGAACUGAGACACGGUCCAGACUCCUACGGGAGGCAGCAGUAGGGAAUAUUGCACAAUGGGGGAAACCCUGAUGCAGCCAUGCCGCGUGUGUGAAGAAGGCCUUCGGGUUGUAAGCGACUUCAGAUGGGAAGAUAAAAGAACUAGUACC
rnacentral:rRNA from 1 species